rnacentral:rRNA from 1 species
GCAUAUCAAUAAGCGGAGGAAAAGAAACCAACAGGGAUUGCCCUAGUAACGGCGAAGUGAAGCGGCAACAGCUCAAAUUUGAAAUCUGGCCGCAAGGCCCGAGUUGUAAUUUGUAGAGGAUGCUUUGGGCGCGGCGCCUUCCGAGUUCCCUGGAACGGGACGCCAUAGAGGGUGAGAGCCCCGUCUGGUUGGAUGCCUAGCCUAUGUAAAGCUCCUUCGACGAGUCGAGUAGUUUGGGAAUGCUGCUCAAAAUGGGAGGUAUAUGUCUUCUAAAGCUAAAUACCGGCCAGAGACCGAUAGCGCACAAGUAGAGUGAUCGAAAGAUGAAAAGCACUUUGAAAAGAGGGUUAAAUAGUACGUGAAAUUGUUCAGAGGGAAGCGUUUCUGACCAGACUUGGGCUCGGUGAAUCAUCCAGCGUUCUCGCUGGUGCACUUUGCCGGUCCAGGCCAACAUCAGUUCGUCGCGGGGGAUAAAGGCUUCGGGAAAGUGGCCCCCUCGGGGGUGUUAUAGACCGUUGUGCAAUACCCUGCGAUGGACUGAGGUUCGCGCUCCGCAAGGAUGUUGGCGUAAUGGUCAUCAACGACCCGUCUUGAAACACGGACCAAGGAGUCGUCUUCGUAUGCGAGUGUUCGGGUGUCAAACCCCUACGCGUAAUGAAAGUGAACGGAGGUGAGAGCUACGGCGCAUCAUCGACCGAUCCUGAUGUUCUCGGAUGGAUUUGAGUAAGAGCAUACGGGGCCGGACCCGAAAGAAGGUGAACUAUGCCUGUAUAGGGUGAAGCCAGAGGAAACUCUGGUGGAGGCUCGCAGCGGUUCUGACGUGCAAAUCGAUCGUCAAAUAUGGGCAUGGGGGCGAAAGACUAAUCGAACCUUCUAGUAGCUGGUUUCCGCGA